rnacentral:tRNA from 1 species
UGCCCCAUGGCUGAGUUGGUUACAGCGUCCGACUGUUACACCAUAGCAAUCGGAAGGUCGUGAGUUCGAGCCUCACUGGGGCAG